rnacentral:lncRNA from 1 species
CUACUUUGGCUCUGAAGAAGCCAUGAUCCGUCUUGAUAUGAGUGAGUUCAUGGAGAGACACACAGUCUCCAAGCUCAUUGGUUCACCUCCUGGUUAUGUUGGUUACACCGAGGGUGGGCAGUUGACAGAAGCUGUUCGGCGUCGACCUUACACUGUGGUGCUCUUUGAUGAGAUUGAGAAGGCUCAUCCUGAUGUCUUCAACAUGAUGCUUCAAAUUCUUGAAGAUGGAAGAUUGACUGACAGCAAGGGUAGAACCGUGGACUUCAAGAAUACUCUUCUGAUAAUGACUUCAAAUGUUGGAAGCAGUGUUAUUGAGAAGGGAGGGCGCAGGAUAGGAUUUGACCUUGAUUAUGAUGAGAAGGACAGUAGUUAUAAUAGGAUUAAGAGCCUAGUGACUGAGGAAUUGAAGCAGUAUUUCAGGCCAGAAUUCUUAAAUAGGUUGGAUGAGAUGAUUGUCUUCAGGCAGCUCACUAAGCUGGAGGUUAAAGAUAU